rnacentral:rRNA from 1 species
GACGAACGCUGGCGGCGUGCCUAACACAUGCAAGUCGAGCGAACAGACGAGGAGCUUGCUCCUCUGACGUUAGCGGCGGACGGGUGAGUAACACGUGGAUCACCUACCUAUAAGACUGGGAUAACUUCGGGACACCGGAGCUAAUACCGGAUAAUAUAUUGAACCGCAUGGUUCAAUAGUGAAAGACGGUUUUGCUGUCACUUAUAGAUGCAUCUGCGCCGCAUUAGCUAGUUGGUAAGGUAACGGCGUACCAAGGCAACGAUGCGUAGCCGACCUGAGAGGGUGGUCGGCCACACUGGAACUGAGGCACGGUCCAGACUCCUACGGGGGGCAGCAGUAGGGGAUAGUCCGCAAUGGGGGAAAGCAUGAAGGAGCAACGCCGCGGGAGGGAUGAAGGUCGUCGGAUCGUAAAACUCUGUUAUUAGGGAAGAGCAAAUGUGUAAGUAGCUAUGCACGUGUUGACAGUAGCUAAAGAGAAAGCGACGACUAACGAC